GUGCUGAUUGGAAGUAAGUCUGUUUUGCAUUUUGUCUUCCUGUCCAGGCUCAUUUUUUAAUGUUUAUUUUAGAAGAUUGUUGCAUCAAUAUUAUGUUUCCUGGCAUUGUUCAGCAUAGAUACAGUGUACGCUUUUAUGUACACAUGAUCAUAUUUAAGUUUGUUGCAUAAAAUAAACGCUUCUAGGUGUCAUGUGGCAGUCUUUUAAUUUCUUUUUUUAUGAUUUUCUUUCACAGAAAACUACUUGCUGUAUCUGUGCAUGGUCUCGGAUGUUCAUAGAAAUACUGAAUUGAGCAAAGAUGUUGUAAUGCAGACAGUUACUAGUUUAAAAGGUAGGGGGUUUAGGUGAAGUUACAGAGUUUUACCUUGUAAAGUUUUAUGGGCAGAAGGGGGUCGGUCUGCAGAGUGAGAGUGAGCAGUUCAUUUUGCUUCCCCCUGCCUCAGUUCCACAUUUUUCCUCUGCAAAUUGGUUUUAAAUCCCUUGAUUCAUUGUGGAAGAGCUGGAUACUGUUGACAUUAGUUAGGAUUACUUGCUCUUCUAAAAUGGGUAGGGUGCGGUUGUGUGCUUAGACAAUGAGUAAGUCUCUCUUAAACAAGUUUUCAACUGGUGUUACAGUUAUUUUUCCUCUGUAACAGAGAAAAUCGGACUCUUCAUAAAGCAGCACAUGCAGCUUUCUCAAAAGCAAUCUGUGUUGCUUUGACUUGAAGGAUUUGAAAUGCCUUUGACAAAGGAGAGACUGGGAUAUUUUAAAAGCAUUUAAUGGCACAUCCAUCAGGGUUUUGAUUCCCAACACUGAAAUAAUUUCACGAGAUGGAUUUAGUGAUCAUAGCGCAUUUUUCUUUUUAGUGCUCUGGUCACGUACUUCCCUCACACAAAGUUGUGGUAUUUUGGUUUAAACGAAAUGUUGAAAUGUUUUUGUUAGAUGUUUUCAGGUGCUAUGUAAAAAAGAAACUCUUUUAGAAAUGAGCUCUGGUGUGCUUCUAACAGUGAUUUGAAACCUGGACUUGACACAUGUUGCAAAUAUUCAGAAUUAUUUCCAAAAGCUUUGGUUUUUGUGAAGUGGAUAAUUGCUGGGCUUUGGGGUUUGGUUUGUGGGGACGGUGUCCCCUUUUUUGGUCAGUUUUUAAUCAGUUCAAAUGUCAAGUAACUCAAGGAAUCAUCAUAGAAUAGUUGAGGUUAGAUGGUUUUCUGGAGGUUCAGUGCCGUGCUCAGGGCAGGCAGUUGUCUUUCCACAGAGUUAUGCAGUUUUUUUCUGCUGUUUCGUGGUUUUGUUUGUUUGUGGGGUUGGGGGAGUGAGAGGGGAUGUUUUUGGGGAUUUUGUUGUUUGGGGGGUUUUUUCUUUUUUCAAUAAGGAGACAUUUGAGUUAUUUCCUUAUGUUGAUUAUCAGUACAGUUUAAGUUGAUAGUAUAGUUAAAGGAAAUCGGUACACUCAUGCAGCAAAUUAGGCUGGGCAGAAUUGGCUGAGCAGAAUGCAGCAUGCAAAGUACAGGAAAGGUCUGCCAGUGGCUCGCUGGUUUCUUGUCAGAACUUGCCCCAGAAAACUGCAUUUCUUGCCUGCCCCCCACUGCUCCCUCUCCAAAGCCCUGAGAGCACCCAUGGCACAGUCCAGAGUGGCCUCAGCAAUGGACAUCUUUCUGUAAGAGCAGUAUCCCUUAAGGCCAGGGCUCCUUACAGCAGUCUCACUUGCAAUAGCAGGUUGUUGGAACCAUCAGCCUCUAUCAAACAUGGGGAAGUACAGGCGUAGUUUUUAUACCUGUGUAAUUUACGUGUUGCUAGCGCUUCUUCUGAUGCUUUAAAAUCUGUUUAAGAGUAAUCAGUAUGAAACUGUGGAACUGAAGGCAAAUUAUUCCAAAGAAAGAGGGGAGGGGGGUUUGUACUUCAAUAUUUUACAUAAGAAUGGGGAUUCUCUCAUUGUAAUAAGAAAACUGAUGCUCAGAGUUUUUCACUUGUUAAUGUGUGAUAAAGAAUAAAAGGAAGCCGAUAAAA
ensembl:lncRNA